CCAAGAGCUGGAUGCUUAACUGACUGCGCCACCCAGGUGUCCCAAGGUGUAUGAAUUCUUAAUGUAUUUUGGAUAUUAAUCCCUGGUUAGUAUCUCAUUUACUAAAAUUUUAUCCCUAUUCAAUAGGUUACCUUUUGAUUUUGUUUUUACUUUUAAGUAAUUUCUACACCCAACACGGGGCUCGAACUUACAAUUCUGAGAUUGAGAGUCACAUGCUCUUCUGAGCCUGCCAGGUGCCCCAAAGGUUAAAUCUAUUUUUUUUUUGUUAGUAUUUUUAUUUAUAAUUUAUAUUUUCAAGUCACAUGCUCUACCAACUGAGCUAAUCAGGUGCCCCAAUAAGCCAGAUUUUAAAGUUAAAUUUAUUGGGUUUUUGCCCUGUGACUUUGUUCUUUCAACAAAUACCUAUUGUGCUCCUACUCGGUGUCAGGCUCUGUACUAGUUGCUAGGGAUACAGCUUCUUCCUUGGGUUUGUGUUCAUUAUACAGUUGGCUGCAUUUCCAAGGUGAUACGCUCAACUGUUGCUGAUUGGCAUACUUUUGUGGAUUUUGGCUAUAGUUUAUCUAGGUUAACAAUUUAGUCUAUAAUAUGAGCUGUAAACCCCACUUCUGUCUCCCUUGAGGUGUUUUGUAACUGAACAAAGUGGAGAGGCAACUGUAGGAGUCCAUGGGGUGGGUGAUGGACCGUUCUAAGAUAUUUCUCCUGCCCACCCAAAUGUUCAUAAUGUUCUGACUUUUAGCACAGGAACUGGGCUUGAAGAUGGAGACGCACAUCAAACUCAACCUUUCAGACCACUUACUUUUCCCAGACAUGAUGCUGGCAUGGCAAGAAGGUGAAGAACCAUUGAGACCAGAAGGGCAAAGUUCUUUUUAAAACUGAGAUUUUAGAGAGUGCGCAAGCAGGGGAGGGGCAGAUGAAGAGAGAGAGAAAAAUCCUCAAGCAGACUCCCCGCUGAACACGGAGCCCCAGGACUCUAACCCUCACUGGCACCAACUGUCAAUAUAACAGAGCUGGACGGGACAUGUGCUUGCUUUGGAGCAUCCCUUGGGUUCUACCAACUUCCCAGAAACAAAGAAAAGGCAACCUGCGUAAGCCAGCAGAGUGAAGCUAUAGCUGGAGCAGCAGGUAGUAGUCCAUUCGUGCCUCCAGUGCCAAUACAGAGGCCUCCCGAAGGUAUUAAGAGUUUUAAAUAAGUGCCUUAUUUAGGAGUGUUAUCUCUCUUCAUGGAAAUCUAGCAUAUGGCAGUGAUAAAAGAACUUUCUCCAGCUAACUGGUGGAUGUUAAGUUUUCAGUGCUGUGUCCUUGGAAUGUAGCACACACUUUCAGAGGAUGCCAGUUUUCCAUAAAGUAAAAUUUUGUGGUUCUUACUUGGAACUGCUUUAUUUGGCUUUGGCAAGCCACCUCUUGGACUUGAAGUUGUGGUUUUUCUAGAGUAAGUCUUCCAGGGCUGACUAUGUUUUGGAGUUCCUUUAUGAACAGCUUCUCUGUAUAUUUUUUCCUUAGAAGCAGACAUAAAACAGAAUAGAAAUAAAAGUCUAAUAACUGUCUCAUACAUAAUCUUAAAUAUUACACAUUGACAAAAAUAGCUAACUAAUCCCCAACCACCUUACUUCCAAUUUC